rnacentral:tRNA from 1 species
GCCCUCGUGAGGACUGGGGAUCCCGCCCAGCUCUCAACCGGCAGACCGCGGGUUCAGAUCCCGCCGAGGGUA